AGGGACUUGAUGGUGAAAGUGGUCUUCAGGGGAAGAAAGGCGGCAUGGGGUUGAAGGGGAACAGAGGAUUAGAUGGACGCUCCGGGAAACCAGGACCCAGAGGGAACAAGGGUUUGACUGGAAACAGAGGACAUUCUGGCCAACCGGGUCCAUCGGUGAGCUUGAAUACUGAAGAGACACCAGGCUCCUGACAUAUGACUGAAAAACAAAUGAGUUCCUUCUACUGUCAAAUCUGAUUGGGCCAAUGCUGGUAUGGGGGUUCAGUCCUGAGGCUGCACAACCAGAAAGCUCCAGAUUGAGCCUUAGCUGUUACAUUUCUUAGCUUUCAAUCCUAACUAACCUGUCCAACUGCUCGUUAUCACUGAUUCCUAAUCAACCAAUCACAUGGCAGCAACUCAAUACAUUUAGACACAUGGUAAAGACGAUCUGCUCCAGUUCAAACUGAGCAUCAGAAUGGAGAUUAAAGAGCCUUUGGUUGCUUGUGUCAGACGGGCUGGUCUGAG